CCUAUGCCCACACAUCUAGAGGUGCACGAGUCAAGUAUGUCACAUGCUUUUCCUGUCCAGGUAUUCUGGUGGUGCAACUACCUGAGGAGCAGGCCAACCCUGUCAUUUAGCAGUAAAUUUAUCCUGUGGUGGGAUAGAGAAACUGUGGGGAUAAAGACAGCAGACCUAUCCCAUGACUAGGCUGGCGGAGGGGGGUGGAAAACCUACCCCACAGCUGGGACAGGCCAGGAACCCCACUGCUGUACUCUAUUGUUAAUUCCUGGGGAACUGAAAUCACAAGACAUGCAAGACUUUCCUCUCUACAUUACUCUGUCUGUCCAUCACACCAGCCUGGAAGUGCUUUCCUUCCUCGUGCUCAUCAGAGUCCUCGAACACACUUUCAUCUCAGAUCAGGUGACCUCAGGUUUAUGGAGAGCGAAGCCAGCAGGAUGGAUGCGGUUUAUCAAGGUACAGGACAUGAAUGUCCUAGUGACGUUGACACACGUCUCACCUCUCUCCCCAUGGCGACUGUCCUUCCUGCUACAGACACAGGCUUCCUCUUUUCUUAGUUUAAACCAUUUGUUCAGGGCUUGAAGCACUUGUCACCUCAGGGAAGCAUAAUGUUAUGCCAUCAUUUGAACGAAUGGGAGAGAGAACAUCAGUUACACAGUCUUUCUUAAUGUCACCUAUAGUAUUCAUGACCUGUUGUCCCCUAGUGGUUUCAUCAGUAAAACAUCCAUGUCAUCAUUUACUCGCCAUCAUAUUGUUACAAACCUUUCUUUCUUAUGUAAAACUCAAAAAAUAUACUUUGAAGAACUGUUUGUGUACUCACAAUGAAAGACAGUGGGGUCCAAAACAACUUUGGACCUCUUUGAUUUUCAUUGUAAAGAGUAAAUGAGUAAAAGAUGAUAAUUGGCCAAACACUUUGUGCCAAGCUUGCUAUUUGUCCAAUCAUAAGAAAAUAUGUGCUGACAUUAUAAAAGGGACCCAAUUUCAUAGCUUUAGAAAUCGUAAUUAAAUGCCCUUGGUGACAUGAGAAUGGUUUUCUCAGAAAAUGCAUUGCAGUCUUGCACAAACUCAUUUGAGGGGAUGAAAUCAAUGUAAAAAAAUCUUUGUUUUUCUCAUUAGAAGCCGAUGGUGGAGUUAAUUGAUUUCGAAGCUGCGAAAAGAUGCUGGUUUAAAAACCUUCCUCGCUGAUCUUGAUAACAGUGUGGGCCGAUACCUAACGAGGUGCUGCAUUAAUUGUCACCCUCUGUUGACGGCGUUCAUUUGGUGUUUAACGGAAAGAUUGAUGUACUGUAUUGAUUGAAUGAGCGGAGCAGCCUGGGAAUGGAGCUGAGCUGGUGUUCUCAGUCUCGCCUCUGAUGGACUUCAGCAAAGAGAGCGUCUCCAGUGCUGACACUGAGGCUGCGGGGACUGUCAACUUGCACGAGGGAGGUCUGUUCCGAAUCUGACUGCUAAUAAAGCUCUCUCAUUCAAGAAGUCAUGGGCUGUCGCUGGAAUUCUUGGCUGCUUUUCUUAUGAGGAAGGCUGUGCUCCUCUUUUCUGCCAGGGCUGGGGGGGAGGCGUUGGAUGAGGUGGGGGAGAGUUGUAAACCGUGAGCAAUAGGGGGUCGAUCUCUCCAAUAGAUGUCACGUAUUUUAACGAGCAGUUUCAGCCCAUCUCAAAAGACACGGAGCACAGCGGGGUGAACAAAGAUGGUCUUUGUCUGGGUGUAUGGAUGGGUGGGUGGGUGCGAUGUGUGUGUGCACACUUAAGGGAAAGUGGAGAGGUGUGUGUUCCACUACUGUUGCCUUCCAGGGGCUCCUAACAGUGGGGUAUCUUGGAUCUUGGGAAUGAAAAGGGUCACGAGUACAUGUAGGGUUCAAGAUUUGUGCUAAAUUGUUACUUACUUUGCACCCUGUAUGUUUACUAGGCCAUAUCUAGAUUCCUGCAUUGAAUGGCCUUCAUGCAUGUUCUCAGUCUGCAUCACACUAUUGGUCCUGCUUGUUCACGCGUAUUACUGGGUAAAAACAAUCUAAUCAUGACAAUGAAAAAACAAACAAACAUGCGGUCGAACAUAUAAACAAAUACAACUAAAUGUUGAUUAACAAUCAAUUUCAAUGCUGUUUAUAUUCAGUUUGAAAGUAAGGCUGACAGAACUACCUCUGUGGUGCACUUGAGAUAAAUAUUUGAUUUAACAUAUACAGAUGAUGUCUGAAAGUGUAUGGUUUGUUAUUUUAGG